CCUACGGGAGGCAGCAGUGGGGAAUAUUGCGCAAUGGGCGAAAGCCUGACGCAGCGACGCCGCGUGAGGGAUGAAGGUCUUCGGAUCGUAAACCUCUGUCAGCAGGGACGAACGGUCACUGUGCUAAUCAGCAGUGAAUUGACGGUACCUGCAAAGGAAGCACCGGCUAACUCCGUGCCAGCAGCCGCGGUAAUACGGAGGGUGCGAGCGUUAAUCGGAAUUACUGGGCGUAAAGCGCUCGUAGGCGGUAUGUCAAGUCAAGGGUGAAAUCCCCGCGCUCAACGUGGGAACUGCCUUUGAAACGGGCAAACUGGAGUGUGUGAGAGGAUAGUGGAAUUCCAGGUGUAGGAGUGAAAGCCGUAGAUAUCUGGAGGAACAUCAGUGGCGAAGGCGACUAUCUGGCACAUAACUGACGCUGAGGAGCGAAAGCGUGGGUAGCAAACAGGAUUAGAUACCCGGGUAGUC
rnacentral:rRNA from 1 species